rnacentral:rRNA from 1 species
AACGAACGCUGGCGGCAUGCCCAACACAUGCAAGUCGAACGAGACCUUCGGGUCUAGUGGCGCACGGGUGCGUAACGCGUGGGAACCUGCCCUUAGGUUCGGAAUAACUCCCCGAAAGGGGUGCUAAUACCGGAUAAUGUCUUCGGACCAAAGAUUUAUCGCCUUUGGAUGGGCCCGCGUUGGAUUAGCUAGUUGGUAGGGUAAAAGCCUACCAAGGCGACGAUCCAUAGCUGGUCUGAGAGGAUGAUCAGCCACACUGGGACUGAGACACGGCCCAGACUCCUACGGGAGGCAGCAGUGGGGAAUAUUGGACAAUGGGCGAAAGCCUGAUCCAGCAAUGCCGCGUGAGUGGUGAAGGCCUUAGGGUUGUAAAGCUCUUUUACCCGGGAUGAUAAUGACAGUACCGGGAGAAUAAGCUCCGGCUAACUCCGUG